UGCUGCUUUGUGUCUCCCAGGUGAAGGCUGCCAGGGGCCUAGCCGUGCUCACAUGGAUGGGACAGAGACCCGACAGCGGAGGCCGGAGGAGCUAGGGCUGCCACCCGCCCUCAGCACAGGAAGACUCCCUGCAGCCUCAGAAGAUGGACCUCUGACUUUCCCUGAGAGCCAAAGGGUGACCUCUAAACUACUGGGGACUGAACUCAGCAAGGAGACUGCCCUAUCCAUUGGCUUCCAGGUGACAGUGCCCUUCAUGUUUGCAGGCCUGGGACUGUCAGGGGCUGGCAUACUUUUGAACUAUUUCCAGGGCAAGAAGCUGCGAGGCUUCAGCUGUGAGCUCACCCGGUCCCCCCACGGGGUCUUCCCUGAGACCACCUUCACCAUCACGUGCCAGGUUGUGGUCCCCCUUCUGCUCUCGGGUCUGGGCAUGAUGACUGCCGGCCUGGUGAUGAACACCAUCCAACACUGGCCCGUGUUUGUGGAGGUUAAAGACCUGUUGACAUUGGUGCCACCCUUAGUGGGCCUGAAGGGGAACCUGGAGAUGACACUGGCAUCACGACUCUCCACAGCUGCCAACACUGGACAAAUUGAUGACCCCCGGGAGCAACACCGAGUCAUCAACAGCAACCUCGCCCUCAUUCAGGUGCAGGCCACCGUCGUGGGGCUCCUGGCGGCUUUGGUUGCCCUGCUGCUGGGAGCUGCGUCUAGGGGGGAGUUGGACUUUGCGAAGGUGGAGUUGCUGUGUGCCAGCAGUGUCAUCACCGCCUUCCUCGCGGCCCUUGCCCUAGGGCUGCUGAUGGUCUGUAUAGUGAUUGGUGCUCGAAAGCUCGGGGUCAACCCAGACAACAUCGCCACACCCAUUGCAGCCAGCCUGGGAGACCUUAUCACGCUGUCCAUUCUGGCUUUCAUUAGCAGCUUCUUCUAUAAAUACAAAGACAGUCGGUUUCUGACUCCCGUGGUCUGCAUCGGCUUCAUGGCCCUGACCCCGGUGUGGGUCCUCAUUGCAAAGCAGAACCCACCCAUCAUGAAGAUCCUAAAGUUCGGGUGGUUCCCAAUCAUCCUGGCAAUGGUGAUCAGCAGUUUCGGAGGGCUCAUCUUGAACAAAACCAUUUCUAAAGAGCCAUACAAAGGCAUGGCCAUAUUCACGCCCAUCAUCUGUGGUGUGGGUGGCAAUCUGGUGGCCAUUCAGACCAGCCGGAUCUCCACCUACCUGCACAUGUGGAGCACACCUGGGGUCCUACCCCUCUGGAUGAAAAAAUUCUGGCCUAACCCAUGUUCCACUUUCUGCACUUCAGAAAUUAAUUCCAUGUCAGCCCGAGUCCUGCUCUUUCUGGUGAUUCCAGGCCAUCUGAUUUUCUUCUAUGUUAUCUACCUGGUGGAAGGCCCUUCGGUUCCAAACAGCAAGAUCUUUGUGGCGUUCUAUCUGCUAGCAGGCCUGAUCCAGGUGACGAUCCUGCUGUACCUGGCAGAAGUGAUGACUCGGCUGACGUGGCACCAGUCCCUGGAUCCUGACAGCCACUGUAUCCCCUACCUCACGGGGGUAGGAGACCUCCUAGGGACUGGCCUCCUAGCCCUGUGCUUUCUUAUCAGCUGGUUAUUGAGGAGCGAAGCAGAGCUGGAUGGCAUUUCAGAACUAGCAUCGGGACCUUCCUAAUGAGACCAGCAGCUCCAGUUAGUCAAUAGAAUGCUCCCUCCCACCAAUAGGGUACAGAAUGCAGCUGCUCCCUGGCUGGGUCCUUAGGUCUCCCUGCCUCGACAGUGGCCCUUUGUCCAUCUCUUAAGGAGACUCACAUACAUCUUGACCCUCAUGUUGGACCCUGAGGCCAUGAUGGAGCCUAAAAUCAGAAGUACUGUCUGUGCGUGUGAGUGUGUGAAUGUGUCUGCAGGUGCCCACGUGCUAGAUGAGUGUGUGAAUGAGUGCACGUAUGUGUGGAGAGCAGGGCGCACAGGCCCGAAGACUCUGAAGGAAGAGGCGUGGCAGUGCACUGUGGGGAUGUUUGGCCCUGUUUCAGUCCAGUGCAGCCCGGAUUGGGGUAGAGCAGGAAGAAGAUCCAUUGGGUGCUCAAGUCUCGGGACUUCCCGAGUCCUGGCUUAACUGCUGUCUUCACUGGGUCCAGCUCCACAGGUCGCUCUGCUGAUGUGCCCUGCAAAUGUGGGCAGCCCUUCCUAGGACAGGGCCCCCAUCCGCUCCCAGCAUUUACUUUUGCCACUGCUUUCUUUCCUUUUUCCGUUUUCUCUCUUUUCCCUUCCUUCCUUCCUUCCUUCCUU